rnacentral:lncRNA from 1 species
GAGUUGGACAGGUUGGAUUAUUUGAAAACAGCCUGGGUUGUGAGAGGAAAAUGAGCAGGCCAGAGGAAUUUGGAGCUGCCAGCAUCUUGGAGGGCCCAGAUACAAUCAGCAGAGGAAGAAAACCACAGGAUGAAACAGUCCCAAUGACCAGCACCAGUGAAGACCCAAGACAGCACAAAAGGCCAGCUAGCAGAGAAACAUGAUUGUUCACCGUCCAUCUCUGGGACAACCUAGGUCCUUCUUGCCUUUCUGUCCUCCUCAGUUGACAGAGUCUCUAAGGGAGGGGCAGG